rnacentral:snoRNA from 1 species
CUUUCUGCGAUUGGGCAAGAGUUGCUGUGUAUUUAUUUGGCCUGUAACUCUAAUCCGCUGAAGGUAGAUCAAAUCGUUCAUUCUCAUAUGCCGUUGACUCUGCAUUAGGUUCCAUUUCAUAAGUGAACAUUGCAGAUCGCACGUGAGUGAAUACA